AGACCGGCACCUGUCCCAGGAACUCAGGAACCAGCUCCACGUCCCCCCCCAGAGGGGGGGGCCCUCCUGACCCCCGGCUCUCCAUGGAGGAGGUGGUCCAACCUGGAAUGGUCUCCGCUUGCUCGAGCGUCGUGUCCUCUGUCCUCUG
rnacentral:lncRNA from 1 species